rnacentral:rRNA from 1 species
UGAGGAAUAUUGGUCAAUGGGCGUGAGCCUGAACCAGCCAAGCCGCGUGAGGGAAGAAGGUACGAAGUAUCGUAAACCUCUUUUGUCAGGGAACAAAAACCGCUCCGCGGAGCGGUCUGAGUGUACCUGAAGAAAAAGCAUCGGCUAACUCCGUGCCAGCAGCCGCGGUAAUACGGAGGAUGCGAGCGUUAUCCGGAUUUAUUGGGUUUAAAGGGUGCGUAGGCGGUUGAUUAAGUCAGCGGUAAAAACGCCCCGGGGGACUCAACCCCCGGGCCGAGCCGUUGAAACUGGUCGGCUGGAGUUGGAGAGAAGUAUGCGGAAUGCGCGGUGUAGCGGUGAAAUGCAUAGAUAUCGCGCAGAACUCCGAUUGCGAAGGCAGCAUACCGGCUCCAUACUGACGCUGAGGCACGAAAGCGUGGGUAUCGAACAGGAUUAGAUACC